rnacentral:lncRNA from 1 species
AGUGCCGGGGGCGACAACUAUGGCGUAUUUUCGGUUUCCGCCAGCAAAAGUAUGGCCCUUGAGAUCCGUAUUUGCUAUAUAAAGUUGGUGUCCAUGGCGCGUUGUGGCCCUAACAUUGGUUUUGGCUCGUAGAUAUUACGUAUAUAAGGGUACGGUAACGCUAGCGGCAAAAA